rnacentral:rRNA from 1 species
UACGGGGGGAGCAAGCGUUGUUCGGAUUUACUGGGCGUAAAGGGCGCGUAGGCGGUCAGCACAAGUCAGUUGUGAAAUCUCCGAGCUUAACUCGGAAAGGUCAACUGAUACUGUGCGACUAGAGUGCAGAAGGGGCAACUGGAAUUCUCGGUGUAGCGGUGAAAUGCGUAGAUAUCGAGAGGAACACCUGCGGCGAAGGCGGCUUUCUGGGCCUUACCUGACGCUGAGACGCGAAAGCGUGGGGAGCGAACCGG